rnacentral:lncRNA from 1 species
GGCGCUCACGGUGAGGAAGCCCCGAGCUCCCGGGACGCAGACAGGGUGUGCAGGGCCGUAGCUCGGGCCUGUGUAUGCACCUGUGCGUGUGUGUUUGAUGCCAGGACAAGGCGGCGGUGUGCGCGGCGAGGAGGCUGCGACAGCUGUAUAGACCCCAGCUGCAGUGAAAUGGCCAUCAAAAAGGGAAGGGAUAAUCGAGUGGUGGAAUAAAAUCUGCAAACAGAAAAAGGACAGACCUGUUUUCGGAACGAGGCUUUUCGAGUUACCACCAUGACUGAAGGCUAAGAGCAACUUGCUUGCGCAUUAAAGAUCACUUGGAGAGAGAGGUCCAGUGAGCAACAACGGCCAGAAAUUUCAGGGAGACCAUCUUGAACCAUCCAGCCUCCACCAGGCCAACAGCUGACAGCUGUCACAUGAAUAUGAUCAGCAGAAGAACCACUCAGGCAAGCCAAGCCCAAAUUGCCAAGCCCCCCAAAUAAUAAGCUAAUUGUUUUUUGUUUUAAGCCAUAAACUUUUGAGGUGGUUAUAUAGCAAUAAAUAACUGAAACAGGUGUUUAACUUUCUAGACUUUUUAAAUGACCAUAUUGAUAUAAUUGUAUUGUUCAACCUGUUUUGUAAAGUGAUUUCUCUGAUACAGUAUCUUGAAAAUAUUCCUUAACUAUUUUCUACAACUUUGCAUUUGUCUAUCUUAGUAUUAUAUUACAUGGAUAUGUGGUAACUUAUUUAACUACUAACUUCCCUUUGCAAUUCCUUUUCCUUGCUGUCUAGCUCCCAUGUCUUGACCAACUUUGCAUUCCCCUCCAGGACCUUAUGGG